UACGUAGGGUGCAAGCGUUUAAUCGGAAUUACUGGGCGUAAAGCGUGCGCAGGCGGUUUUGUAAGUCUGUCGUGAAAUCCCCGGGCUUAACCUGGGAACUGCAUUUGUGACUGCAUGGCUGGAGUGCGGCAGAGGGGGAUGGAAUUCCGCGUGUAGCAGUGAAAUGCGUAGAUAUGCGGAGGAACACCGAUGGCGAAGGCAAUCCCCUGGGCCUGCACUGACGCUCAUGCACGAAAGCGUGGGGAGCAAACAGG
rnacentral:rRNA from 1 species